rnacentral:rRNA from 1 species
AUUGAACGCUGGCGGCAGGCCUAACACAUGCAAGUCGAACGAGUGGCGGACGGGUGAGUAAUGUCUGGGAAACUGCCUGAUGGAGGGGGAUAACUACUGGAAAAGGUAGCUAAUACCGCAUAACAUCAGAUGUGCCCAGAUGGGAUUAGCUAGUAGUUGGGGUAACGGCUGACCUAGGCGACGAUGCCUAGCUGGUCUGAGAGGAUGACCGGCCACACUGGAACUGAGACACGGUCCAGACUCCUACGGGAGGCAGCAGUGGGGAAUAUUGCGCAAUGGGCGCAAGCCUGAUGGAGCCAUGCCGCGUGUGUGAAGAAGGCCUUCGGGUUGUAAAGCACUGUCAGCGGGGAGGCGUUACCCGCAGAAGAAGCACCGGCUAACUCCGUGCCAGCCGCCGCGGUAAUUC